rnacentral:rRNA from 1 species
AGUGAACGCUGGCGGCAGGCCUAACACAUGCAAGUCGAACGGCAGCACAGUAAGAGUUUGCUCUUACGGGUGGCGAGUGGCGGACGGGUGAGGAAUACAUCGGCAUCUACUUUUUCGUGGGGGAUAACGUAGGGAAACUUACGCUAAUACCGCAUACGACCUACGGGUGAAAGCAGGGGAUCUUCGGACCUUGCGCGAGUGAAUGAGCCGAUGUCGGAUUAGCUAGUUGGCGGGGUAAAGGCCCACCAAGGCGACGAUCCGUAGCUGGUCUGAGAGGAUGAUCAGCCACACUGGAACUGAGACACGGUCCAGACUCCUACGGGAGGCAGCAGUGGGGAAUAUUGGACAAUGGGCGCAAGCCUGAUCCAGCCAUGCCGCGUGGGUGAAGAAGGCCUUCGGGUUGUAAAGCCCUUUUGUUGGGGAAGAAAAGCAGCAGGUUAAUACCCGGCUGUUCUGACGGUACCCAAAGAAUAAGCACCGGCUAACUUCGUG